GACAGCGCCUGAUCUCAGGACACAAAGUCACCCACAGAGGGAGCUCCUCCCCCUUCUCAGGGGACACGGUGUGACUCUGAGGGGGGAGGACACUGAAAACCCCAAAGAACCCAGAAGAAUGGCGCUGGCGGCCGGACGACCAGAGGGUUUGGGAGCUGUCACUUUGCACUGGGAGCAUCGCCCAGGAGGGACAGGAGGCACCACGGAUACGGCCCAGCAAAGUGCCGGAGAGGACAAGCCCAGGACGGAAUCCACAACUGAGACGAACCCUCCACUUUCCCAGAGACGCCUUCUAACCCUGUUGGCCACCCGCCACCCCCGAAGUCCACGUUUGCCAAGGCUUAUCUCUGAGUGAUGACCUCCUACCUCCCCGCAUCGUGCCUCAAACCAUCAGACUGUUUCUCAGCUGCCCUCUUGCUCUCAUGGGAACUUGGCUCUGCUCCGAACUGAGUCCUCGAAGGGACAGUGGUCUCUCCCACAUGGCUCGCAUCCUGAGGCCUGUGGAUGACGCACCAGACCAAUCACGAGCACAGGACUUAGAGUCUGACAGGCCCGAGUUCAAGUUCCGGCUUGAGCGGUCCCAGCUGUGUGGUCUUAGGCAAGUUACUCAGCUUCUCUGAGCCACGUAGACUCAUUCUGCAAACAUGGGCCGAGUGUCUACUUUACAACGGGGUCACCUUGCUACGCCUGUCCUAAGGAUUAUAGAAGAUAACGUAGGUCGUGUCUCUAGAACCAAGCCCAGCUAAUUAUGAUGAAGUGCUCAAUCAUCCGGUGCCGUUUAUUCUUCACGUUUCGUCAUGAUACGGUCUCAGAGUCUAUUUAUAAUCAUCCGUGUUUACAAUCUGGAUUUUCUCAUUGGUCAAAAACUAUUUAGGGCCAGGGCCCCCGGCUGACUCAGUCUCGGGAGCAUUGAGACUCUUGAUCUCGGGGUUGUGGGUUCUAGCACCACGUUGGGUGUAGAGAUUGCUAAAAAAUAAAUAAAUAAAUAAAUAAAUAAAUAAAUAAAUAAAUACACUUUAAAAAAUUUAUUUAGGACUGCCUCGGGGUCCUAAAGGGGUUGGGUUUUGUUACAAACGCUUGGAAGUUUCCAGUUUAUUGCACUGGGGGGUCAGAGAAUGUGGCCAGGUCAGUUUCAGGUUUGAGGACCUUGGAAUUUCUUUCAGGGUCUAACGUUGAUUUGUGAAUGUUUCAUUGGCAGUGAAAAGGUGUGUUCUCCAUUUAUAAGAUACAAAGGUCAAGUAUUUGAACACAAGCCCCAGGAUGGAUAAUUUAUGACUGACCACUGCUGCAUUCCUGGUAUCCAGCAACUGGCCUGAUGUACAUCAUCCAGGUUCAAUAAAUAUUUGUUGAAUGAGUGGCUAAUUAAUCAAGCAAACUUAUUAUCACUUAGAUUCUCAAUACCUUUGUACCUUUGCAUAUUUUUUUUUCCUACUCCAUCUGUCAAAGCCUGGUGAGUUAUGUCACAU